GAUGAACGCUGGCGGCGUGCCUAAUACAUGCAAGUCGAGCGGACUUAAAAAGCUUGCUUUUUAAGUUAGCGGCGGACGGGUGAGUAACACGUGGGCAACCUGCCUGUAAGACUGGGAUAACUUCGGGAAACCGGAGCUAAUACCGGAUAAUCCUUUUCUACUCAUGUAGAAAAGCUGAAAGACGGUUUACGCUGUCACUUACAGAUGGGCCCGCGGCGCAUUAGCUAGUUGGUGAGGUAACGGCUCACCAAGGCGACGAUGCGUAGCCGACCUGAGAGGGUGAUCGGCCACACUGGGACUGAGACACGGCCCAGACUCCUACGGGAGGCAGCAGUAGGGAAUCUUCCGCAAUGGACGAAAGUCUGACGGAGCAACGCCGCGUGAGUGAUGAAGGUUUUCGGAUCGUAAAACUCUGUUGUUAGGGAAGAACAAGUACGAGAGUAACUGCUCGUACCUUGACGGUACCUAACCAGAAAGCCACGGCUAACUACGUG
rnacentral:rRNA from 1 species